rnacentral:lncRNA from 1 species
GAUUGUGGUGGUGGAGCUAAUGACAUGUGUGCAGAAACUCUUCUGAAUGGGACUUCCCUGAUCCUGUUUUUACCUGAUCUUCAUGCUCAAUAGAAAAAGCCUCAGCUUUGGAAUCAGGGCCGUCCAGGUAGCAUGGCAUGGUACUGGAACACUAUGUCUUCUCUCUGACCUCUCGGAAUAUCUCUGUGAUUCAAUGUGUUGGCCCAUUGGAGGCCCUGGACUGGUUAAAACCUGGAGGUUUGAGAAACCCCUGAUCUUCUCCAUACUCUUCACAAGGGCAAUGGCUGGCCAAGAUUACAAAUUAGUGACUGUUGAGGCUGGAAUCUGUACCGAGGUCAUGGGAACCCCCUGCACUGCCCCUUCUAAUCACCCUCCUGCUUGGACCCUGGGAGUAUGACAAAGAGUCAGAUAAGACAACUGAGGCUGAAGAUCACACAACCAGUAAAUGGAACAGCCAGAAAUCAAAUGUUAUAUAUUGGCCCUGAAGUGGGGAUAAAGCAGCUAAAAGAAAGUGUACUUUACAUUAAAUUUUAAGAUUUAUGAGACAGGCAGAAAAAUCACAAAAAGGAAAAAAAGUCAGUUUGAAGUGUGAAAUCAAGUGAAUGAAGUAAGACAGAAGCAAUAAUCUCUACAACAAAAGAUGAGAACUUGCCUCCUCUAAAUCCCAUACACACAUGGCUAUUUGUUCCAAGCUUAUGUGGAUCAUCGCUAAUUUACAAACAGUGGGUGAUGUGCUAUAAAGAAAAUGACUCAUUGGCCCAUCUGUAAUUUAAAUAUGUGACAAAAUGUUUAAAUGUUUCAAACAAUGGUUAAUUAUUAGAGACUUAACAGUUUGAAAACAAGUGUGGAGCUUUUUUUUUUUUUUUUCUGUUUUUUUGGCUUCAUUUUGAACCAGCCCAAAUGGACAUCAGGUGUUUGACUCUUCCUGAGAUGCAGUACAUAAUCUUUAAUUGGACACCUUGUUGGAAAAUAAGGAGGAAAGUAUCCAUUUUUUUUUUUUAGAAUAGCCUGGCCAACAUUUAUGUACUGAAUGCUAAUAUGUAUAAUUGAAAAAAUAAAAAAUUCUAGGUCUUACUUAAGA